rnacentral:rRNA from 1 species
ACGGAAGGCAGCAGUGAGGAAUAUUGGUCAAUGGUCGGAAGACUGAACCAGCCAAGUCGCGUGAAGGAUGACGGCCCUAUGGGUUGUAAACUUCUUUUGCCGGGGGAUAAACCUGGCCACGUGUGGCCAGCUGAAGGUACCCGGUGAAUAAGCAUCGGCUAACUCCGUGCCAGCAGCCGCGGUAAUACGGAGGAUGCGAGCGUUAUCCGGAUUUAUUGGGUUUAAAGGGUGCGCAGGCGGACCUUUAAGUCAGCGGUGAAAUCCCCGUGCUCAACGCGGGAACUGCCGUUGAUACUGGAGGCCUUGAGUCAUGUCGAGGACGGCGGAAUGCAGCGUGUAGCGGUGAAAUGCUUAGAUAUGCUGCAGAACUCCGAUUGCGAAGGCAGCUGUCCAGAGAUGUACUGACGCUGAGGCACGAAAGCAUGGGUAUCAAACAGGAUUAGAUACCCUGGUA